rnacentral:rRNA from 1 species
GGAUGCGAUCAUACCAGCACUAAAGCACCGGAUCCCAUCAGAACUCCGAAGUUAAGCGUGCUUGGGUGAGAGUAGUACUAGGAUGGGUGACCUCCUGGGAAGUCCUUGUGUUGCAUUCA